rnacentral:lncRNA from 1 species
GGUCAUAAAAAUCCAGCCCUAACAAUUGCCCCCAAAAUAUAAGGAGUAUUUAUUGAUAUUGUAAAUAAAUGAGUUAUAUUUUGCUUGAUCUUAUCUGCAACGAGCUAAUCGGAUAACUAGCCGUUAAAGUCGAACUAGCCGUUGCAAUUCUUACGUCACAGAAGUGACAGCCCUGCAGAUCAUCAUUAUAAAUAGGAGAUAGAGAUAGGAUCAAUUCGCAUUUAAAAUCAAAGAAACUCCCUUUAAAAUCUCGUCCGAAGAUCAAUCAGGUAUCUCUCUUCUUCCUUCUUCCUUCUCUUACUUUGUUUUUCUGCUUCUUUGUUUUUCUUCUGCAAAUAUGUUGCUCCGGAAUUCCCCUCAUAAGGAUCCUGAGAAGAACAGUCCCUUGAAAGGUCAAGGGAU